AUACAAAAUUCGAAUGUCCACAAGCUGAAUAUCAAUAUGAAGAAAUUUUAGAAAAUCUUCUUCAUCCAAACAAGUGUGAUUGUAGAAGCUUUUACAGUUGUGACCACGUCGGAAAUUUCUUCCUGAAUAACUGUCCUAAAGGAUUACUUUUUAAUGCCAAUAAAUCCGUAUGUGAUUGGCCAAAAAAUGCAGGAUGUAAAUUAGAUGUCAACUAUGAGCAUUGUGAAGAGAUCAAAGAAGAAAAACCUGUGGAGCAAAAAAAGGAAAAAAGUGUAGAGCCAAAAGAAGACAUCAAGAGUAAAGUAAAGAACAAACUGAAGACGGUUUAGUUCAAGACAAAAAAAAAUAUUUCGUAAUUAAAAUUGUUUUAAAAUAAUUCACGUUCGAUAAAAUUCUUUCAUUUCCUAUAAAAGCUCGUUCAUCACAAAAUUUUAGCUUAGUAUCAACUUAUCAUCAUCAAAAAUGAAACUUAAAAUACUUUUCCUAAUAUUUUGUUUCACUAUCGCUUGCGAUUGUAACAAAAAUCGUAAACAUAUUGACAAAAACGCUGUCGGAAAAUGCCCACCUAAAAAUCAUCACGGAGUAAAUGUUCUUCUGCCUCAUCGUUGUGAUUGCACAAAAUAUUUCUUGUGCGAUCAUGGAGUCCCAAUUUUGAAGAAAUGUUCGCCGCCACAUUUUUUUAAUCCAGAAAAACAGUAUUGCGAUUUUAAAGAAAAUGUGGUUUGUAAAAAAGGAAAAGGUUGUAAAUGAAUUUUAAUUAAAGAUGCCAUCCUCACCAAUUAAUUAAAAAUAAAAAAAUGG